AUAUUUCACUUCCUAGUCAGUUCGGUGUUGGUUUCAGCUAGACCGACAAAGUUACUGAGUGCUAGUGCUGGGUUCGAGCCCACGUCCUCCCGACUGCAACAAUGGUCCUCCGAAUUGAAGUGAAAUACAGUAACUCCUGAAGUUAUAAGAAACGGUUCACAACACUGAAAGAUGACUUGGAGACAGAAUUCCCACAUCAACUGGAAAUUACUGGAACUCCAGUCUGAAGCCAAGGUGUUUUCAAAGUUUACGUGCAGGACUCCAAAAUGCUGCUGUAUUCUGAACUGCAAGGAAACUUUGAAGACCGAUCCACAUAUGAUCAACUCUUUUCAAAAAUUCAAGCAGUUCUCCACAAAAAAUAAAAGCUGUAAUUACAUUGGUUGAACGUCCUUUUGCUUUGUUCACUUCGGCUGAACACAUCAUGAUGGUGAUGGCUGAAAUGCCUGCAAAGGCAUGGCUGUUUCCUGAUGUCUACGUGGGAUGUCGCAGUGACUGAAGUUAUCUGGGGUUUGGCCUGUGGGUUUGUCUUAAAAUGUUUCUUUUUUAUGCUUUGCCUCUACACCACAAUGGUGAGUUUUCCUCCUGCAGUGCAAUAGCAAACAAUUCAAACAAUGUUUACUCUUUGAAUUAAAGGGCAUAGCCAUUUUUUUUAAAGCAACCUGCCAUAUGUUUUCACUUUGUAAUCCUUAUUAAUUAGGAAGUAUGGCCUGUCAGCAUGAUAGCCACUUUAUUUCUGUAACUGAUUGUUUAUUUGGAAUCUAGCCCAUUCCCCACAGAGCAGUUCCCUAAUUCUUUAUCAAACUGGUCACUUUGUAAAGCUAGUCUGCAAAAUGUGCAUUGCCAACGCUACAGUCUUAAUCACCCACAAAGAUACCUUGGGAAUCCCCUUUUAUGGGGCUAAACGAUAGGGUUUGUAAAGCAGCUGAGGUACAAAGUCACAGGGGGAACAAUCCUUUGGAAAACUAAAUUUGUAGUGUAAACAGUCUAAAACCUGGCACACUGGUGGUUGUGAUGGUAAAAUUAACCUUUUUUUUGAUUAGAUACCAAGACCAAUGGUUUGGAAACAAAUGCACUGAAUGUACUAACCAAUUUUAACAAGCAGGUUUGCAUUUUGACUUUGCCUGAAUUCUACUUCCACUGUGCCACAUGAUAUUGUAUUCAGUUUAAAUGUAUGAAGAUUUAAAUCUCCACUGGCACAAUAGCCUAGUAAUAGUGUGGGCCAAAGAAACAGCAGGGUGCUUUAGUAAAUGUUGCUUGAUUGAAGUAAUGCAACUUCCACUGGAUGCCAGUUAGCUUUGCUGUCUACCACUUCUGGCCAUGUUGAUGCUCUCUUCUGGGUGGCUUUAAAGGAAUUAUUAUUGGUGAACUGUAUAAUCUUAAAAAAAUCAACAUUUUGUUUUUGGAACAACCAGAAGGCAGUUCUAUUAACCUGUAUCUUGAACAACAAUAAAAACAUUGUUGAUUUUUA